rnacentral:lncRNA from 1 species
UGAUAUUUUUAAAAUUAGUAUCAUACACAAUACUGGGCUAGACUCUGGCUGGCUACAUAUAAAAAUUCAGACUUCAAAAAAGGGCGAAUUAAAGAGUAAUUAUUCACUUUAAAGAAAGAUGCUUUUCUCUACAAAUGUUUUAGUCUCAGACUCCCUUUGAAUGGCAAAUUUUCCUUGUGAUUUUAAAAAAUGCGAUUUUAUUUCCAAAAAUUCAGUUUAGGCAUAACUUUUCAGGGGUACAUUUUAGAUGAAUUAUGCUUGUUGUAAGUGUUAAACGCAGUCUUUGCCCACAAAAUAAGUAAGGCAAGCUGAAGUUGAAAAUAAUUCCUGUGGAAGAGAUAACAAACUCCUGGCAAUAAAAUUCAGCUCUGUUCUAGAUGAAAAUAAACGUGGAGAGUGAGAUACCUUACUAUUUCAAAAAGUUCCAAGGCCUGAGCUUCUGGGUUAUCCAAGGUGAAAGAAGUCAUGAAAAAAUGAAGAGAGAUAAAGACUGAAUGUGAUAGAUUGUGCACCUGAGGCUGUUUCUUCAAAAUCAUGGAACCUUAAGACCAACUUUCCAUGCAAUUUUCUUAAUACCAAUUCACAGCAUGUACUUUAAUUUCUCCACAGAAGCCAAAUGCAUUAUUCUCUGGUCAUACUCUAUUAACCAAGUUUUUGAUUAUUCAUGGGACUUUGGUCCCAUUUUACUUUAAAUAAUCAGCACUUUCCUUUAUACUUACAGUUAAAAGGUUGCAUUAUACCUAAUGAUAAUCAGUUUUUAGAAGGUUAAAAUGGUAUUUAUUCUUUAAUCUUCCAGAUAAAUAUAUAACUCCUUGGAGUCUUUCUGACUACAGAGAUUUCUGAGUUGAUUGUGACUUUUGGAGGAGCAGGGAGAGAAAGUAUCUGUGACUCCGUCAUUCUUCUGCCACUGCUUAGGACUUUAGUGCCUUCCCAGACUGCAUAUCCUGGGACUUUCCUGGGGAGCGCAGCCUACAGUCACUGUACCUGGAUCUUCUCUCGUCUAUACCUGUUCUAUCCCUGCCGGCUCUCUCUCACUUCGAGAAUUUCAAAAGGAGAUCAGCUGCACUAAAGACCCAGUGUUUUCACAUGGAAAGGGCAAAACAGAGUCAAAGUGACAGUCCUCCUUAGCAUGUGGCAUACCAAUUUAGUAGCUUUAAUGGACUUACUUAAACAAACAAACAAAUGCACAGCCUAUAUCCCAAGACUUUUUAUGGAAUCCUUCAUUUAUCUACUUAGCUUUUGAUGAAUUUUUUUUUCUUCCACUGAAAAGUAUAAUGUCCUCUCAUAGUUAAACUGUGGAAUCUUUUCCACUCAACUUCCUCCCUCUGGGAUGUAAUAAAGAGACAACUUAUGGCCAAACAGCACAUUGGAGAC